rnacentral:rRNA from 1 species
UACCAUGCAGUCGAGCGGAGAUGAGGUGCUUGCACCUUAUCUUAGCGGCGGACGGGUGAGUAAUGCUUAGGAAUCUGCCUAUUAGUGGGGGACAACAUUCCGAAAGGAAUGCUAAUACCGCAUACGUCCUACGGGAGAAAGCAGGGGAUCUUCGGACCUUGCGCUAAUAGAUGAGCCUAAGUCGGAUUAGCUAGUUGGUGGGGUAAAGGCCUACCAAGGCGACGAUCUGUAGCGGGUCUGAGAGGAUGAUCCGCCACACUGGGACUGAGACACGGCCCAGACUCCUACGGGAGGCAGCAGUGGGGAAUAUUGGACAAUGGGGGGAACCCUGAUCCAGCCAUGCCGCGUGUGUGAAGAAGGCCUUAUGGUUGUAAAGCACUUUAAGCGAGGAGGAGGCUACUGAGACUAAUACUCUUGGAUAGUGGACGUUACUCGCAGAAUAAGCACCGGCUAACUCUGUGCCAGCAGCCGCGGUAAUACAGAGGGUGCGAGCGUUAAUCGGAUUUACUGGGCGUAAAGCGUGCGUAGGCGGCUUUUUAAGUCGGAUGUGAAAUCCCCGAGCUUAACUUGGGAAUUGCAUUCGAUACUGGGAAGCUAGAGUAUGGGAGAGGAUGGUAGAAUUCCAGGUGUAGCGGUGA